UGGGAACAAGAAAUCCUUGGACUGCUUAUCAAGGAGCUGGGAAACUCCAGGAUACUGUACUCAUGGGGGAUUUUUACUACCCAGACAUCUGCCGGGAACCUCUGCUGACCUUGAGGCACAAGCUCACAGGUGGACGAAAUCUACCUCCUACAGCUCCGUUCUGCUGAUUAGGAGGGUGAAAAUGAUUAAGAAGGUAAGAAAGGAAUGGUAUCAUAGGAGAGGAUGUUGUUCUGUUGACACGGCCUUUCUUCAUCUGCAGGCAAUAUUUUCACUUUGGCCCCGAAAGUGCAGUGUGAGCUCA
rnacentral:lncRNA from 1 species